CUUGCACCAACUUUUGAACAAUUCUCAUGUUAUGUCUAUUGGGUUAUCAUCACCAUCGUUGCAAUUAUUACUCAGGUUAAAUGCCUCACUCCUGACUCAUGAGCUUUAUUGUUAUUAUUAUUGUUGAGACCUUGUACAUAAUUAAUUUAGCUACAUUAAUACAAUUAACAGUCACUAAUAAUUUUCAUUUUACUUUCAGGGAUCCAAUUUAUGAGAAGCCGUUCGGAACUUGAAUGGUACCACGAUUCAAACUAAUGGUGUAAAGAAGUGUAAAUAACUCUCUGAAAACUUUAUUUUCACUCAAUGUCAUGGAUACUAUGCUAAUUAAACUAUCAAAAUGUUGCAUGAUAAAAAUUUAUCUUCAGAAAGAGUAGCUAGCAAAACAUGUAUAUCAUAAAUAUUGAACUAAUGUGCAUACUAAAAGUAGAGAAUUAUAUAGAUCCAGAGAAACUUGUACGAUGUGGGAUGUAGUACUCUUCACGCAUAGACUAAAGUACAUAUUAGUAGGUGGGAAGAGCAUAUGGUUUUAAUUGACGUGUGGCAGAGUGUAUUUACUUAACAAUAUAACAAUUGUCUAUUUUUUGUGUUUUUUUAUCAGCAUACUUACCUACAUGAUAUUGCUCUCCAUGUAUAUAUUGCUUAAAACCACCCUAUUUUUUCUUAGCUAUACUCAUAUAUGUUUCUAGCUCGUGCUUUAUUUUUCUAAUCCUAUUUAUUUUUCAAAACAAUUUUUUUCUNNN
rnacentral:lncRNA from 1 species